rnacentral:lncRNA from 1 species
GAGCAGAGGGCGCCAUCUUGGACCACGCGACAAGAUGGCGACCCGGAACGGAGACGGGGCGUAUCGAGAAGGGAAGCGACUGAUGAGUGUACAGAGUGGGCGGGGGACGGAGAAGUGAGACCGUGGUUGCGAAGAGCAGAGGACCGGAAGAAGAAACAUUCUAAGAACAUCAAGAAUUCUAACCUACUCCGUGCCUCCCAGUUCCUAUGGCAACCGACUGGCAUUUGAUGGUUACCUUGUUCGCAAGGAGCGUGGAGAAAAAGACCUCUGUAUUCUGCUAUCUGGUUAUCCGGAGAUGGCAGCACGGGACAUGCCCUGCACUGUGACCUCUCAGACCUACCCCAAACGUAUAACGCUUGCUGCUGCCACUUUCUCUUCCUUCAGACCAGACAAACCCUUACUGUCUUUUUUGUAUUUUGAUACUGAAAUUUCUUUGUGUAUGUUCUCUACCCAAGCCCCACCGCCCGCCCACCCCUGUCCCCGGAAGCACACGUUAGUCUUUUUCAGUGAAUUGAGUAAAAGGCCGUUAGGAAAUUGCAGAUGUUUUCUGCCAAGCAUGCAGAUAGAGUGGAGUUAACAGUAAAAAAAAAAAAAAAGGAAACAAAAACUAGUCUGCCUGGGAUAUUUUAUGACACUUUUGCUUGAAUUACAAACUGCAUCCACUCAUUCCUUUUAAUGUUUUUUAGAAUUUUAGUAGGCAUUGCAUUUCAUUGCAACAUUGAAAUUUUCAUCAAUAGAGAAAUGGAUAAAUAGAUAUAGGCUACAUAUUUGCCAUGAAUUACAAUAUGGAUAUUAAAAC